UACGUAGGUGGCGAGCGUUAUCCGGAUUUAUUGGGCGUAAAGCGUCCGCAGCCGGUUUUAUAAGUCUAGAAUAAAAGCCUGGGGCUCAACCCCAGAUCGUUCUAGAAACUGCAAGACUCGAGUGUGGUAGAAGCAAAUGGAAUUUCUAGUGUAGCGGUAAAAUGCGUAGAUAUUAGAAGGAACACCAGUGACGAAGGCGAUUUGCUGGCCAUCACUGACGGUCAGGGACGAAAGCGUGGGGAGCAAAUAG
rnacentral:rRNA from 1 species